rnacentral:tRNA from 3 species
GCCACUGUAGUUCAACGGAUAGAACAAGGCACUCCUAACGCCUAGACAGAGGUUCGACUCCUCUCAGGGGCA